rnacentral:rRNA from 1 species
GAUGAACGCUGGCGGCGUGCCUAAUACAUGCAAGUCGAACGGCCAGGGCACAGAGAACAGAAGUCAGAAGACCGAAAUUGCGGUCUGUUAUCUGGUUUCCGUCUUCUGUGCUCUGGCAGUGGCGGACGGGUGAGUAACACGUUGGUACCUACCCUCUAGUGGGGAAUAACUGGCCGAAAGGUCGGCUAAUACCGCAUAACACCGCAAGGUUAAAGCAGAAAUGCGCUAGAGGAGGGGCCUGCGUCCGAUUAGCUAGUUGGUAGUGUAAUGGACUACCAAGGCGACGAUCGGUAGCUGGAUCGAGAGGUUGACCAGCCACACUGGGACUGAGAUACGGCCCAGACUCCUACGGGAGGCAGCAGUAAGGAAUCUUCCACAAUGGACGAAAGUCUG